CUCUCUUUCUCUCUCUCUCUCCACCUCUCUCUCUCUCCGCUCUCACUCCUCCUUUAAAAAAACCGUGCUUACUCCAGCAUCAGUUUCCUUCGAUUUCUUCCUAUAUAUCUGUGAUUUGCUUGGCUGCUGGUCGGUGUGGAACCUCUAAGAGGCGAGUGGAGAUGAUGAUAACUCAGCCCCUGUGUGUGAUGUCAAGCUACAAUAAAACUAAAAGAUUGCUGUCCAACGGACUUGGCAACCCUACGACACCUCCAGGCCCAGAGUAUAAUCUUCAUGGCAGUGUGAUGAGCACUCUCUCUUUCCUUGUGGUCAGCACCGUUGAGAUCCCCACAUAAGCACCGUCCUGUCGCUGCCUGCCAGACACACCCCCGAGAACCAACAUCUCACCAGAAAUUGAGCGGCUAUAUGCUGCGGUGUGCUGACCUCGCUCUCAACCCGGUGCCACCCAGCCGGUGCGGGACUGAGGCGCAGUGGGCCCCUGCCAAAACCCCACAGCGCCACAUCUGCUAUCCAUAAACGCCAGCCACUCUCGAUCUCCAUCUCCCUCGCCCACACUGUCGAGGCCUGCUCUCACUCUCCCCUCCCCACCAUCACCACCACUCCAUCACCCCCUGCCUCCUCCACUUUGACUGUUUUGCUUAUUCCUGCUUUGCCAAUCUGUGCAGGACGAGUGCUGUUUCUUCUUGCUCUUGGUCCUUUGUUUUCCAUCCAGCCUUAAGCAGGCAGCAGUUCUUCUCUUAUCUCUUCUCUGCAACCCCAUGCUCCAUCUCUUCUCUCUCUCCCUCUCUGUCUCUUUCCCACCCCCUCCUUAUCCCCUUCCAACGGAAAAAUUUCUCACCCAUUAUAUCUUCAGUGGAAGCCAGCUGAGUGUGGUGGCAGUGAACUAGGAACCGCAGGACAUUCCUGUUCCAAAGCGGCCCACAGCCACCAGCGUUAACUCCUUCUGGCCCCGAUUUGGCCCCGUUCAGCCACUGUAUGGAUGAGGCAUCCCAUACGUCUCUUCAGCUUGCCUCACUUUCACUCAACACACGCAAAAUCCUGAACAUUUCCCUCCAAAACUGGCAGAGAUGCUUUUUGGGUGAGUGGUGCGGCCCUGGAGGAAAAGCUCCCCGUUCACAUUCCAUGCGUGUGUUGCUUAAAGUUAAGGACAAUCUCCAGCGUGGGAGGAUUAGAUUUCCUCUCUAGAUCAUGAACAUUUGGCUGGGUGCACCACACCCGUUCAACUUUUUUCUUUUUUUUUUUUUUUUUUUAAAAGAUGUGUUUAACACAUCCCGGCUCAAUGCCCCAAGUGCACUAGGGCUAAAAAAUGAACAAGAAAAUAAAUUGAGUGCCUCGACUUAACCGUCCAGAGCUCCAAGCGCACCCCCAGGCAAUAAAGAAGUAUUACCCUUGUG